UACGUAGGGGGCAAGCGUUGUCCGGAUUUAUUGGGCGUAAAGAGCGUGUAGGCGGCCAUUCAGGUCAGCUGUGAAACUCGAGGCUCAACCUCGAGACGUCGGUUGAAACCGUUUGGCUAGAGUCCGGAAGAGGAGAGUGGAAUUCCCGGUGUGAGACGGUGAAAUGCGGCAGAUAUCGGGAAGAACACCCGUGGCGAAGGCGGCUCUCUGGGACGGUACUGACGCAUGAGACGGCGAAAGCG
rnacentral:rRNA from 1 species